rnacentral:rRNA from 1 species
UGAGUAACGCGUGGGUAACCUGCCCUUAAGUCUGGGAUACCAUUUGGAAACAGAUGCUAAUACCGGAUAAAAGCUACUUUCGCAUGAAAGAAGUUUAAAAGGCGGCGUAAGCUGCCGCUAAAGGAUGGACCUGCGAUGCAUUAGCUAGUUGGUAAGGUAACGGCUUACCAAGGCGAUGAUGCAUAGCCGAGUUGAGAGACUGAUCGGCCACAUUGGGACUGAGACACGGCCCAAACUCCUACGGGAGGCAGCAGAA